GGAAAAACCAGGCCAUACAGAGAUAGGAGCUGAGGGGACAUAGUGAAGAGUGACCAGAAGACAAGAGUGCGAGCCUUCUGUUACGCCCAGACAGGGAGACCAGAGGGCUCCUUGGUGUAGUGGUAAUGCCAGCGUCUGGGAAGACACUCGUUGCCAAGCAGACCGUGGUCUAGCGGUAGUGUAAGCGUCAAGGAAAAACAUCCGCUACUUAGCAGACUGGGAAAGGGAGUCUCCCUUUCCCCGGGGGAGUUUAGAGAAGACUCUACUCCUCCACCUCUUGUGGAGGGCCUGACAUUAGUCAGACUCGCCUGCAGUUAUCUGGAGGCCUAACUGCCUCCCUGUGAGGCUGUGCUUCAGUGGUCAUGCUCCUAGUCCGCCUUCAUGUUCCAUCCUGUACACCAGGCUCUGCCUUUUAGAUAGCAGUAGCAAAUUAGUGAAAGUAUUAAAAGUCUCUAAUAAGCAGAAAUAAUGGCAUAAGCUGUCUCUCUCUCUCUCUCUGUCUCCUCUCUCUCUCUGCCUCGGCUGUCAGGCAGGGAAGGGCCCCCUGUCCAGUGGACAUGUGACUCACAUGGCCUUACCUAUCAUUGGAGGUGGCUCACUCUCCUUAUCCUGCCCCUUUGCCUUGUAUCCAAUAAAUAUUAGUGCAGCCUGGCAUUCAGGGCCAUACUGGUCUCUGUGACUUGGUGGUAGUGGUCCCCCGGGCCCAGCUGCCUUUUCUUUUAUCGCUUUGUCUUGUGUCUUUAUUUCUACACUCUCUCAUCUCCGCACACGGGGAGAGACCCACCGACCCUGUGGGGCUGGUCCCUACACUAGUCACCCUGUUGUGGAAUAGAACAGGAGAAUUUAUUCCUCUCAGGUAAGUGUAACUUUGUAUCCAUUUGCAAUCCCUGUCUAGUGCCCCCUGCCCCCAAGCCUCUGGUAUCCACCAUUAAACUUUGUACUUCUACAAGAUAAAGUUGUUUAGAUUGCACAUGUGUGAGAUCAUGCCACGUUUGUGUUUCUCUGCCUGGCUCAUUUCAUUUAACAUCACACCUUCCAGGUCUCUCCAUGUGGCUGCAGAUAACGUGAUUUUGCUAAUUUCUAUGGCUGAAGAAGAUUCCAUUGUGUACUGCAGUUUCUUAUCCUUUCAUCUGUGUGUGGACAAGUGUAACCGUGUGGCUCCCAUGAUGGGAUUUCAUUGUGUUCUUCUGGCUGAAGAGUAUUCCAGUGUCUGCAUGUGGGACAGCUUCUCUAUCCCUUCAUCUGCAGAUGGACAGGUUUCUGCACGUUGAUGCAGAUGACAUGAUUUCAUGAAUUUCUAUGGCUGAAGAGAAUUCCAUUGUGUACUGUGGUUUCUGUGUUGCUUCAUCUGUGGAUGAACAGGCUUCCUAAAAUCAAACUUCAGUUUCAAAAUCAUUUUUCCUGACACCUGGAUAUUGAAUGCUACAGCAGGCCCUUGGAACAUCCAGAAGAGAGGUAAACAGGAUCACCUGACAUGUUU
rnacentral:lncRNA from 1 species